GCGUAGUGACCGUUAUUGCACCGCACGUUAUUCGUUCGUUUCUUCGAUUCCCCGUUCGGGUUUAUACCAAUGACCCAUUGACCUAAGUCGAAUAUUGGCCCGACGCGACGGUGCGCAAUGUCGUCCAAAAGGGUUGUAACACCGGCGCUGAUUAACUGUCGCCGUUUACUUUGCGGCUCGAAGUGGAUUCGAUCACCUGCCGACAAAAAUAAGCUCACGUUGAUCGAUGGAGAGGAGUGACUUUUUAUUGCCACUUCUUUUUAAUCCUCUUCCUCCGAUGAAGCGAUAAAUCAACAACGAAUAAAACCCGUCCGCAUUCGUCGUCGCGGACAGCUGACUGGGAGGAUCAACUGACCUACGCCAACCAGCGACCGUAUCUACUUCAUUUUUCCUCUCUAAAUCUCAAAAUUUUUCAACGAUCACUGUUUCAUCGCAGAGCUGAAAGUGGUUUGAAAUAUACGUCGUCAGAUGUGAAUAACGAGAAAUCCGACGGUUUAAGUGUCGAAUAGUAGUUUCGAUGAAAUUCUAUGCCCCAGAUUACGAUGAACCUACACAUUUAAUAACAAAUCGCGAUCUCUGAUAGAAGAAACGAGAGUGUCCGUGCAGGACUAAAAGACAAACAGAAGCAGCCUGGCAACCAAUCGAGUCGGGAAGGGAGAAAAGUGGGCGGAGAGUGAGGGAGAGACCCGAAAACGUGUCGAGCUAAUCUUGGACCAGUGUGUACGAAGGAAAACACAGAGUGCAUGAGAUCAGCGGUUCCAAUACGCCGGACUAACAGCUAAGACUCGGUGAUAACGGAAGCCGUGGAGAAAUUCUGUGCCGAGUCCAUUCGGAGGCAGAAUAUAACAAGUACGUUCAUUCCGCGGAGAGAAUGCUGGUUGACGAUGGCUAUUCGUCUCCGCAAACCUCCACCUCAUCCUCCACGUUUCACCGAUGCGUAAUGCCGGCGCAGGUUUCCGGCUCCUGGACGUUACGCCGUCGAGCCACGCUUGCAACGUAUCCUCAUCUGCACCGUAUCAGCUCGGCAGCUUUUGUCCCUCGGGAAAUACGGAGUGAUAUGAUAUUGGCGGAGGAGGAAGAGGAGGAUGUUGCCUGCACGUUGGUUCGCCCGUAUAAAUUGUACCUCUGCAGUCAGUAUACUGCGCAACGCGACUUGGGUACAUACAAGUCGUGGUCGUUUUCGGCACGGAAAGGAGGGUGGAUCCGGGCAGGAUGGAGACGAGUAAAAACGGCGUGCACACAUCGCGCCAGGAUAUACAGUGUGGACGUAUCUCGUCUCGGUUAAGACCGAGACCCUGGCGCCGAGCGAAGGCCGCGACAAAAAAGAUAGGAAGACGCCGUUCAGCCUCUACUUUGUAAGAGGUAAGCGCACUUGGUUGCAUAUCUGGACUCCGAAAAAUACCGAGGAAACUUGUCCUCUCCUUCCCGCGGGAAUUUUCCAUGAUACGCGUUUAGGACUAUCCUGGAUCCACGAUAACCAAGCGGUGGAAAAAUCUCACGGACAGUACGUCCGGGCAGCACCUUCGUGUGCUACCUUUCCUUUUAGGUCUUCAGACCCGGCGAGACGUGACCGAAGGAAGGAAGGAAGGAAGGAAGGAAGGAAGGAAGGAAGGAAGGAAGAACGUAAGGAACGGGGCCGAGGGACCGAAUAGAAGGGCUCGAAGGUGGUGGUUUCUGGUCUUUCGUUGCUCGGGGAGGAUAUCGGAGUCAGCAGGGUUUUCGUGACGCCAUUUUAUCCAUACGUGAUCUCUACCAAAUACGAAAAUUUCUACGUGACUACUGACGCGAGGGUGAAUCCAGGGUGAAUCCGGGAUGGGUGGGUACCUACGCCGAGGCAACCGUGUAGGUACUACCCAUUUACCUUAUUUUCUACUCCUACGUAAGGAGUUCUCGCGCAAGAAGCAUGCGGACAUGAAGACGAUGGUAUCUGCGCCAAGGACACCGAAAUGUGGCUGGUGGUGCGCCUCAAGGUGGGACUCAUAUAAAGUUCGAGUCACGCGUCGCGUUGCCUACCAACUGCUUUUCAACUCAACUCAAUCGAUAGUACAGAUGCAGCUGCCGCUUGAUGCACCGCGGCUACGCUUUGUUCCUUUCUCUAUUUUUCACAGUUUCUUUUACUCCCUUGUAACUAUUUUCCAUUUUUUUUGAUACGUGAAAAUCAUGCCGAGAGGAAAUCGAGGCGGGACCGUAAGAACUUCGACUCUGAAUAUCGUCGCAACGGCGCUUCGGCAGCAUUUUGAAUGUCGGGAACGAGACUGAGGAUAUAAUUAUUACCGCGCUAAUAGCACCGGCCGAAUGUUACGCCCGGGUUACAGCCUUGACUGCCGUAAAAACACUAACCGUCGUAAUUUCAGUAGCCGCACUUAAAUACGUGCUAAAGCUACCGCAGUUAGACUUCGAAGGAAACGCGUUGCGGUGUCUGAAAACUAAUGAAUGGGCGUCCGGUUUCAAAGAGGCAAAUAACGUAUUAACGCAGUGCGGUUUGUAGAAUGCCGCGGACAAAUUUUUCCAUUUUUUUUCCGUUCGUUCUUCAUUAGUUUUGGGAAAAAGAAACAAAUUAGUCGUCAACACGGAGCGGAAACCAACAAAUAAUACGAUGUCACCGUCGCUCGUCGAAGCAACAGCCGAUUUGUGAGUCCGAACUCAGCCUUUUCCUGACGCGUAGCACAAGCUAGAGCUUCAAGCUGGGAAUAAGUUAUGGGAUUUUCUUUCGCACGAUCCAGAAUAUUUUGUGAGAAACGAAAAAUCUUCCAGAGAUGUUCGAACACCUGACAACGAAAGCAGCAUGUUUGAAAAUACCAGACUGUUAAAUGGUAUUAAACAUUUGUAAUACGAAAUAAAUCAUCAUCUAUCUCUGAUCAAAAUCCAUAUUUUUGAAUCCUUGGUACCGAGCACUUGUCGCCCAAGAAUAAUCGGUAGUGAAAAUCAUGCGAGAGAUGGAUAAAUUUUUUAGUAGUUAA
rnacentral:lncRNA from 1 species